rnacentral:rRNA from 1 species
UACGUAGGAUGCGAGCGUUGUCCGGAAUUAUUGGGCGUAAAGAGAACGUAGGCGGUUUGUUAAGUUUGGGCUUAAAGACUGGGGCUCAACCCCAGGAGUGGCUCGAAAACUGACAGACUAGAGGAUGGCAGAGGAAAGUGGAAUUCCCAGUGUAGCGGUGAAAUGCGUAGAUAUUGGGAGGAACACCAGUGGCGAAAGCGACUUUCUGGGCCAUUCCUGACGCUGAGGCGCGAAGGCGUGGGGAGCGAACGGG